rnacentral:rRNA from 1 species
UACGUAGGGGGCAAGCGUUGUCCGGAUUUAUUGGGCUUAAAGGGCGCGUAGGCGGCUUUGUAAGUCAGUGGUGAAAUAUGGCAGCUCAACUGUCAAGGUGCCAUUGAUACUGCGGAGCUUGAGUACAGAAGAGGUAGGCGGAAUUGACGGUGUAGCGGUGAAAUGCUUAGAUAUCGUCAAGAACACCUAUAGCGAAGGCAGCUUACUAGGCUGUAACUGACGCUGAGGCACGAAAGUGUGGGGAUCAAACAGG